rnacentral:rRNA from 1 species
AACUUUCAACGACGGAUCUCUUGGUUCUGGCAUCGAUGAAGAACGCAGCGAAAUGCGAUAAGUAAUGUGAAUUGCAGAAUUCAGUGAACCAUCGAAUCUUUGAACGCACAUUGCGCCCGCCAGCACUCUGGCGGGCAUGCCUGUCCGAGCGUCAU